rnacentral:misc_RNA from 1 species
GCCCUGAUAGACAAUGCAUGCAUCUGACAGCAGAAUUAUGUCAUCAAACAAGUUGUAAGUCUCAGGGGCUGGCUGUAACAGAGAUAUCACAGCAGUUCCCUUCAAGAGCUGCACCAAUUGUCUUAACGAAUUGACAAUGGAGAAAGUAGUUGAACUGUCCAAUCCAGUUGAGAUUUCAUCCAUGAAAAGCGCCUUUGAUGGUCCAACAAGCAUUUCACCCGUCGUUACACGUUUCUUUUGCCCCCCUGAAAUACCCCUUAACAUUUCAUCUCCCACCAUAGUAUCAGCACAUACAUCCAGUCCCAAAAUCUUAAGAACAUAAUCUGUGACAACAUUGGCUUCUUGUCCUUCUGUUGCUGAAGCCUUCAUGUAAAUGUCAAUAUCAGGAUCCGGUUUUAUAUUAGCUGCUUUCUCUCUUCUUGAUAGUUCAGCUAACAUCUCAUAACGAGAACCA